rnacentral:rRNA from 1 species
CACCGGAUCCCAUCAGAACUCCGAAGUUAAGCGUGCUUGGGCGAGAGUAGUACUAGGAUGGGUGACCGCCUGGGAAGUCCUCGUGUUGCACCCCU